rnacentral:rRNA from 1 species
GACGAACGCUGGCGGCGUGCUUAACACAUGCAAGUCGAACGGAAAGGCCCUGCUUUUGUGGGGUGCUCGAGUGGCGAACGGGUGAGUAACCCGUGAGUAACCUGCCCUUGCCUUUGGGAUAACUUCAGGCCACUGGUGCUAAUACCGGCUAGGAGCUCCUGCUGCUGGGUGGGGGUUGGAAAGUUUCGGCGGUUGGGGUUGGACUCGCGGCUUAUCAGCUUGUUGGUGGGGUAGUGGCUUACCAAGGCUUUGACGGGUGGCCGGCCUGGGCGGGUGACCGGACACACUGGGAUGGGGAUAAGGCCCAGACCCGAACGGGAGGGAGCGGGGGGGAAUAGUGUACAAGGGGCGGAAGGAUGAUGAGACAAAGCCGCGCGCGGGAUGACGGGAAGGGGGUAGGAAAGCGAAGUCGCUUGAGACGAAGCGAUAGUGACGGUAAUGGGAGAAGAAGCACCGGCUAACUACGUG